GCGAACGCUGGCGGCAGGCCUAACACAUGCAAGUCGAGCGGCCCUUCGGGGCAGCGGCGGACGGGUGAGUAACGCGUGGGAACGUGCCCUUUGGUACGGAACAACUGAGGGAAACUUCAGCUAAUACCGUAUGCGCCCUGCGGGGGAAAGAUUUAUCGCUAUUGGAGCGGCCCGCGUUAGAUUAGCUAGUUGGUAGGGUAAGGGCCUACCAAGGCGACGAUCUAUAGCUGGUCUGAGAGGAUGCUCAGCCACACUGGGACUGAGUCACGGCCAAGACUCCUACGGGAGGCAGCAGUGGGGAAUCUUGAGCAAUGGGAGAAAGCCUGACGCAGCCAUGCCGCGUGAAUGAUGAAGGUCUUAGGAUUGUAAAAUUCUUUCACCGGGGACGAUAAUGACGGUACCCGGAGAAGAAGCCCCGGCUAACUUCGUGCCAGCCGCCGCAGUAACAC
rnacentral:rRNA from 1 species